AUCCAGAUGACGAGUCCCAAACAGGACGAAAUACACAUCCUGGAU
rnacentral:hammerhead_ribozyme from 1 species